UCAAGAUCAUAAUUUUAUGAUGUGUUUUGUCGAUAACAAUUAUAAUAUAAAAUCAAUUUGAUCUAAAAUCUGAAACCUACACGGGCUAACGGUCGUUCCAGCUUUCUGUUUCUAGUUACGUUAACAUGUGGUGAUUUAAUAAAAAUGUGUUUAGCUUCUUUGUAUUCAGUUUCUUCUUUUAUUCAGUUUAAAUACACAAAUUGCUGAAGCGGGUCAAGAGGCCCGUUAUCGUACGGACUACAAUACGGUUGACGUCACGGGUUUUCGAGAAGCACGCUCGCGCAGUUAUCUAUUUUAUAACGUUUGCCUUAUAUCUUAUCGGUUGCUGCUCUUAACGUUGACCUAACAGCAUCGCAACCUGAAAACGUACCGUUUUUUACGCUGUCAGUAUUUAGUUAUCUGUAACGAGAGUCGGAGGGUGAAUAAAAACCGUCUAAACCGACCGAAGGCGACAUGAACUGGGUCGGAGGAUCUAGGUUCGUGCUAACCUGCUAACGUUAACAGCUAACUUCAUUGAAACCUGACAAUAACUGACUUUACGUCGUCACCUGGUUGUAAAAUUAACAAUUCAAGGAGGUCAAAGCAAAAAUGUCAAAAUGACUCCAUACAAAUUUACUCAAGUUUAUGUAUAAUGUCUUAACUAAACAGGAGCAGGUAUAUGAAAAGCAAAGAAGACGCAACAAAACAGAGAGUACGUACUUUUAACUCUCCAGACCAACUGUUUAAAACCACAUUCUUUUUAGUAACUACAUAUCCUUACUAUAUUUCAACCAUGACUGUAUCGUAAAUGCAAAUAUUAACUACAGUUAAAUGAAUUUAGUUACAGGUGGUUAGGUUUAGUUUUUUUGUGUGUGUUAUUUUGUCUUAAACCUGUUUUUGUGAUCAUCUGUUUCAAUCUCGAGGCGUUUUUUCAAAAGCAAAGGAUGAAAAGAAAGUCAGAUAUCGUGGGCUCGCCCAAAGGAUACAACCCUGAAAAUAUGGAUCUGCUGACAUUAUUCAUAGUCAACCAGAUUGCAUCAAAGAAGGAGAUAACGGAAAAACCAAAAACGACUGCUGUGAAAAGAACCAAAAGAGCUUCGAAAGAGCCUUCGGAGUUACCAAUGAGCCCUUGUUCUCCUUCAAACCUGGACCUAGUUACCAGUCGACCACAUAUCGAUACGCCCGGUUAUAAAGUCAGAAGACGUCGUCUCACCGAGGAAUUCAAGUUCACGCCGUUGUCUCCUUUGCUUGAAUCAAACCUGUCCGAUGCCAGCGGCUCAGAAAAUCAACCACAUCCACUUUCAACAUCUUCCGGCUCCUCAGAUCCAAUCCAAACCAAACCUGCACCGCGCACAUCCUCUUCUCUGGAAAAACCCAACGAUAUGAAGAAAACUCCUCACUUUGUGCCAUUCUCUCAACCAACGAAGAUGGCUGAUCCGUGGCCGGACGAAACUCUCGCGCAAGACGUGCCGCGCGAUUUCUCAGCGGCUGGGAAUCGGUUCGAGAGCGCGUUACCGAAACCGGAGAGGGGAGGGCCUUCGGGUGCCUCGGUUUUAUAUCCGCUCAACCCUUUUGGGAGCACGGAAGAACCGGAGGAGCCGCUGUUCAUAGAUUUUAAGAUUUUAGAUUAUAAAGUGAUCGACUCUUGCGAUAGAUCGGAAAACGCGGACAUUAAUGGAAAUCUCUCAACACGGGAACCUGUACGCACCGACAGCAGCGCAUGUGCUGACCUCUUCGCGCGCGUCGACAAAUCUCCAAGGGGAGUUCACCGCAGCUCAGAUGACACAGAAGCACAGAGGCGUGACGGGACUCCCCCGGUAACCCUGGAAACAGGGACGCAAACAAGAGCUUUUUCUUACCGAGACGUCUCAGUUCAGUGCUCGCUUAUCCAUCACAGAAACUCCGAGCCCGUGCCGGGCGCCCAUCGGAAAACCGGCGCCUUUUCCACAAGAUGGCAGCAUUCUAAUUUCAAUCAGUUUCUUAAUCCAGCUACGCACACCUCUCGAAAAACAGGGCACAAAAGAACAGGAAACGUGGCCCCCGGGGAAUCGGCAAAAAAACAGCGGCCGCAGAGACAUGCAGGAUCACAAACGGGCUUCUCCUUCCGCAAACUUCAUAGUCAGAAGAGCUUGAAAAGAGAUCUGACGUCAGCUUCGAGACGUCCUUUCUGCAGAGCCUCAGAACAGAAAAAAGAUGGAAAGCAGGAGGAAAAUAAACGCGUGACUACCCUCAGUUAGGAAAUGCGGCGCGAAAACCCUGUCAAGGACGUCAGGCGUGCAGGAAGAUUUGCGAACGAGACGAAGAACUUCACAGCAGAGAAAGUACAGCAAUUCUGGCAGUGGGUCAGUGACCCCUGUUGAUUUCUUCAGAUAAUCUCAGCUGCGGUUCUACAGCCGAUCUAACACCAUCUUCUGCUAUUAACGUCGGUAUUAAUCAAUGCAAGAUGAAGACACCAAAUCUUUCCACUGCAAUUAAGCAAAGGGUCCCAAAAAAGACUUUUGGCUCUGCCUAGUUGGUUUACCUACUAUAAAAACAUCGAUCAUUUUAACAAGAACAUUCCAUCACCACCCGCUAAAUUAGCAUCUGUCUAUUUUCUCAACCAAAAUAGAAACACAUUUGACUUUUGUAAGCUUACGUAAGCUGGAUUGUUGAUGCCGACAGUUAAAAGAUUCUCAGUG